rnacentral:rRNA from 1 species
UACGAAGGGGGCUAGCGUUGCUCGGAAUCACUGGGCGUAAAGCGCACGUAGGCGGAUUGUUAAGUCAGGGGUGAAAUCCUGGAGCUCAACUCCAGAACUGCCUUUGAUACUGGCGAUCUUGAGUCCGGGAGAGGUGAGUGGAACUCCGAGUGUAGAGGUGAAAUUCGUAGAUAUUCGGAAGAACACCAGUGGCGAAGGCGGCUCACCUGGCCCGGUACUGACGCUGAGGUGCGAAAGCGUGGGGAGCAAACAGG